CAUUCGUUUCGGCCACAGGAGUUUUAGUGUAGUCUGGUACUGAUGCUGUGUAAUUUCGCUUUAUAACUCUUUGAAGAGGAAACACAAACGGCUGAAACGACUUAAGCAUGGAUCUCAGACUGCCAGAUGUGGCCCUGUUGUCUGCAGACAGCAAUAAAUUAGAACCGGUGGCAGUCUGGAGUCGUGACGGAGACGUCAAGGCCAGGCGAGAUACAGCAUCCACUUCCGCCACAUUAAAAAGCCCUAGCCUGGGGUGACAGGCUGCAGGGCGUCUGCUGAUGAAGAGCUGGCAUCUAGACAGGCUUGAGCGAAACCGCCACAGCAUCGGAUCUGACGCUCAUAAAUACCAGGAAUGAAGCUGUGUCGCUGACGGCUAAUCGAUUCCAGGAACUGGGGCACGGGCUUCUUUUAAGAAAGAUGCUCCGCCGUUUUGUGUCAAUUCUGCAUUUCAUAGAAAAUCUCUCUUUCAUCUCAGGGUGCUUUUAAAGUCUUCGCAUUAACAAUGAUCAAGAACCAGCUGACUUUGUGAUUUAUCUUUUAUCAUCAUCACAGCCAAGGCCAAAAGCUUGAAGUUAAUUAGUUACCCAACUGUACAUUAUAACAUCGCAGAAAUUUGAUUGGUCAGAAAUCGGCGAGUAGCAAUAGUCGUGGACGACGGCUAUAUUUCAAACAGCAGCUUGUUUCUGUAGCAAAAGCUCAUUUUCUCUAAAAAUAAAUAAAUAAAUACACACACAUUAAUGAUCGACCAACAAUCCACUGAUGAAGUCUGGUUAAUGAACGAAGGGAAGAAGAGACAAACACAAAGCUCAUGUCAAGCCCAAAUCUGGGAUCUCCUGCCACAGCCUCCCACGGGCAGUCGUCCAUUGGCACAUUAUUGUUUUGCGUGAACGGCGUUCUGGUGUGUGAUAGCAGUGUUUGUGGCACUUCCUAAGGAACGACAAGCGUCAAAUCAACAGAGUGGCUCAGCUCGUGCCAGAAGAAGAAAGGUGGGUGAACGGGGGCAUUGGCAUGGUGUGCGUUUAAAAAAAGUUUGGUACAUUAUG